rnacentral:rRNA from 1 species
CGUAGGGUGCGAGCGUUAAUCGGAAUUACUGGGCGUAAAGCGUGCGCAGGCGGUUUUGUAAGACAGAUGUGAAAUCCCCGGGCUCAACCUGGGACCUGCAUUUGUGACUGCAAGGCUAGAGUACGGUAGAGGGGGAUGGAAUUCCGCGUGUAGCAGUGAAAUGCGUAGAUAUGCGGAGGAACACCGAUGGCGAAGGCAACCCCCUGGACCUGUACUGACGCUCAUGCACGAAAGCGUGGGGAGCAAACAGGAUUAGAUACCCUGGUAGUCCACGCCCUAAACGAUGUCAACUGGUUGUUGGGUCUUUACUGACUCAGUAACGAAGCUAACGCGUGAAGUUGACCGCCUGGGGAGUACGGCCGCAAGGUUG